UCUCUCUCUCUCUCUCUCUCCUCUUUGGCUGAGUAUUGAGUAACGUUGAGUGAUUGCGGAAAGAAAACGUUGUGUGCAGCCAUUCAAGGGGAGACUCUUGCUAUUGUGACAGGUUCUUUCUUUUCCUUAUUUAUUUAUUUUACAUCUUACAGAGUGCAAUAUUUGGCAAAGUGCACGUGACAUUAGUUAGGGAAUAGCAUAAAGGACAGAGAAAGCGUUGUGUGCAGCCAUUCAAGGGGAGACUCUUACUUUUGUUACAGGUUCUUUCUUUUCCUUAUUUAUUUAUUUUACAUCUUACAGAGUGCAAUAUUAGGCAAAGUGAACGUGACAUUAGUUAUGGAAUAGCAUAAAGGAAAGAGAAAGCGUUGUGUGCGGCCAUAUAAGGGGAAACUCUUACUUUUGUUACAUGUUCUUUCUUUUCCUUAUUUAUUUAUUUUACAUCUUACAGAGUGCAAUAUUUGGCAAAGUGCACGUGACAUUAGUUUACGGUAUAGGUUAAAGGAAAGAGAGAGCGUUGUGUGCAGCCAUGGAAGAGGAGACUGUCAUUAGUUCAUGAAUCAUAGUGGGACAGCUUCAUGUAAUUCAGUGGGCUGGAAGGAUGUGCCAUAAGCCUUUAUUUUUUAGCACUUGUUUCCUACCAUUGUGUCUUUAGUUUCAUGGUGCUACCUUCACAUGUCUCCCUAGUUGUUUAAUCACACUAUGUAUAUACUGCCUGGGGGCUGGUAUAGCAUGCUCCUCCCUUCUCCUUUGUGGUAUACUUGCAUCAAUAAACUAUCAAUCAAUCAUAAGCAGGUGAUUCGAUUUUUUAUGUAUUUUUUUUAUUUGGCGAAGUUCACGUUUCGUUAGUUUACAGAGAUUAGUAAAGAGAAAACGUCGUGUGCAGCCGUGGAAGGGGAGACUCCUUGUUAGUUGAUUCGAUUUCUGAUUUAUUUAUUAAUUUAUUUCUAUUUGGUUUAGUGCAGGUGUCUUAAGUUUUCUGAGGACAACACAUGGAAUAACGAUUGUACUGAUAUUAAAAAAGGGCCCUCUAAUUUCCAAUGUAUAUAAAGUUAAAAACAGUAUGUACGUAGCUGUAGAGCAAUUAUUUCAAUGAGAAUGUGAGUUGCAAUGAUUAUAAUUCUUCUGGAGUGUUUUUUGGGGGGCUAGUCAGACUGUGGGACAACAUAAUUUCCAUACUAGCGAGGAAAUAAGUAAUAGUUAAGAAAUAUACAAGCUAAAAAUGCUAGUGGGAUGGACUACGAGAAACACAAAACAAAUAAAUAAACGAAGAGAGAGAACAUGAUCAAUUAUUUGCUUGUGGGAGUAUUUCUUAACCCUCACCAACACCUGUGCCAGCGUUAAUG